UACGGAGGGGGCUAGCGUUGUCCGGAAUUAUUGGGCGUAAAGCGCGCGUAGGUGGCCCAGUAAGUCCGUUCUGAAAGUCACAGGCUCAACCUGUGAAAGCGGAUGGAUACUGCUGGGCUAGAGUCCGGAAGAGGCGAGUGGAACUCCUAGUGUAGAGGUGGAAUUCGUAGAUAUUAGGAAGAACACCAAUGGCGAAGGCGGCUUACUGGUCCGGUACUGACGCUGAGGUGCGAAAGCGUGGGGAGCAAACAGG
rnacentral:rRNA from 1 species